AUGAACGCUAGCGACAGGCCUAACACAUGCAAGUCGAGGGGCAGCACAAGGAGCAAUCUGAGGUGGCGACCGGCGCACGGGUGAGUAACACGUAUGCAACCUGCCUGUAAGCGGGGAAUAACCCGUUGAAAGACGGACUAAUACCGCAUAAUACUAAAUUACUGCAUGGUAAUUUAUUUAAACAUUUAUGGCUUACAGAUGGGCAUGCGCAUGAUUAGCUAGUUGGAGAGGUAACGGCUCCCCAAGGCAACGAUCAUUAGGGGUUCUGAGAGGAAGGUCCCCCACACUGGUACUGAGACACGGACCAGACUCCUACGGGAGGCAGCAGUGAGGAAUAUUGGUCAAUGGACGAGAGUCUGAACCAGCCAAGUCGCGUGCAGGAAGAAUGUCCUAUGGAUUGUAAACUGCCUUUGCAGGGGAAUAAAGUGCAUCACGUGUGAUGUUUUGUAUGUACUCUGCGAAUAAGGAUCGGCUAACUCCGUGCCAGCAGCAGC
rnacentral:rRNA from 1 species